AGAGUUUGAUUCUGGCUCAGAACGAACGCUGGCGGCGUGUUUAAGACAUGCAAGUCGCACGGGAAUAUUUCGGUAUUUAUAUUGGGAUAUUCUAGUGGCGCACGGGUGAGUAACACGUGAAUUACAUACCCUUCAGUGGGGGAUAGCCCAGGGAAACUUGGAUUAAUACCCCAUGGUAUCGCAAGAUUAAAGGUGGCCGCAAGGCUGUCGCUGAAGGAUUGGUUCGCGCCCUAUCAGCUUGUUGGUGAGGUAACGGCUCACCAAGGCUACGACGGGUACCUGGUUUGAGAGGACGAUCAGGCACACUGGAACUGAGACACGGUCCAGACACCUACGGGUGGCAGCAGUCGAGAAUAAUUCACAAUGGACGAAAGUCUGAUGGUGCAACGCCGCGUGGAGGAUGAAGGCCCUAGGGUCGUAAACUCCUGUCAUUUGAGAGUAAGACCUGGCGGUUAAUAGCCGACAGGGUUGAUAGUAUCAAAAGAGGAAGGGACGGCUAACUUCGUGCCAGCAGCCGCGGUAAUACGAAGGUCCCGAGCGUUGUUCGGAAUCACUGGGCGUAAAGGGAGCGUAGGCGGCGUGGUAAGUCAGAUGUGAAAUCCCGGGGCUCAACCCCGGAACUGCAUCCGAUACUGCCGUGCUAGAGGAUUGGAGAGGUAGCUGGAAUUCUUGGUGUAGCAGUGAAAUGCGUAGAUAUCAAGAGGAACACUCGUGGCGAAAGCGAGCUACUGGACAACUCCUGACGCUGAGGCUCGAAGGCCAGGGUAGCGAAAGGGAUUAGAUACCCCUGUAGUCCUGGCAGUAAACGGUGCACGCUUGGUGUGAGGGGAUUCGACCCCCCUCGUGCCGGAGCUAACGCGUUAAGCGUGCCGCCUGGGAAGUACGGUCGCAAGACUAAAACUCAAAGAAAUUGACGGGGACCCGCACAAGCGGUGGAGUAUGUGGCUUAAUUCGAUGCAACGCGAAGA
rnacentral:rRNA from 1 species